rnacentral:rRNA from 1 species
CCUACGGGUGGCAGCAGUGGGGGAUAUUGCACAAUGGGGGAAACCCUGAUGCAGCGACGCCGCGUGGGUGAAGAAGUAUUUCGGUAUGUAAAGCCCUAUCAGCAGGGAAGAAAGAAGACGGUACCUGACUAAGAAGCCCCGGCUAACUACGUGCCAGCAGCCGCGGUAAUACGUAGGGGGCGAGCGUUAUCCGGAUUCACUGGGUGUAAAGGGAGCGUAGACGGCCGUGCAAGCCAGGAGUGAAAGCCCGGGGCGCAACCCCGGGACUGCUCUUGGAACUGUGCGGCUGGAGUGCGGGAGGGGCAGGCGGAAUUCCUGGUGUAGCGGUGAAAUGCGUAGAUAUCAGGAGGAACACCGGCGGCGAAGGCGGCCUGCUGGACCGCGACUGACGUUGAGGCUCGAAAGCGUGGGGAGCGAACAGGAUUAGAUACCCGGGUAGUC